rnacentral:sRNA from 1 species
GACAACUUGAGGAGAUAAGAAAUAUGUAAAUUGCCUACCAUAAAGUAUGGUACAUUGUAUAUAUUCACAAAAUAUUAGCAAUGAUGAUUAGAGCCCACAUUUAUUUCACAAAUGAUUAAUCAGAGUUUGGAAAUUUUUUUUUCUUUAAUGCUUUUGGGUCAGAUUUUGAACACAGCACGAAAACAUUUUGGAGCUGGUGGAAAUCAGCGGAUUCGCUUCACACUGCCACCUUUGGUAUUUGCAGCUUACCAGCUGGCUUUUCGAUAUAAAGAUAAUUCUAAAGUGGAUGACAAAUGGGAAAAGAAGUGCCAGAAGAUUUUUUCAUUUGCCCACCAGACUAUCAGUGCUUUGAUCAAAGCAGAGCUGGCAGAAUUGCCCUUAAGACUAUUUCUUCAAGGAGCACUAGCUGCUGGGGAAAUUGGUUUUGAAAAUCAUGAAACAGUCGCAUAUGAAUUCAUGUCCCAGGCAUUUUCUCUGUAUGAAGAUGAAAUCAGUGACUCCAAAGCACAGCUAGCUGCCAUCACCUUGAUCAUUGGCACUUUUGAAAGGAUGAAGUGCUUCAGUGAAGAGAAUCACGAACCUCUGAGGACUCAGUGUGCCCUUGCUGCAUCCAAACUUCUAAAGAAACCUGAUCAGGGCCGAGCUGUGAGCACCUGUGCACAUCUCUUCUGGUCUGGCAGAAACACAGACAAACAUGGGGAGGAGCUUCACGGAGGCAAGAGGGUAAUGGAGUGCCUAAA